GGCGCGUUAACAAAGUGGUAAUGUAGCGGACUGCAAAUCCGUAUAGCUCGGUUCGAAUCCGAGACGCGCCU
rnacentral:tRNA from 1 species